rnacentral:lncRNA from 1 species
UUUCUCUCUAGAUACUUUGGCCAUUUCCCAGCGUGAACUCCACAUAAUUUUGUUCAUGCGACUCUGGGAUGAAAAAGGCAAAUAAAACAAAGAGACUGACCAGUGAGCUCUGAGGCAUUGAUCACUGAAGCUUCUUCUGUCCAUCAUUCAUUGUCCUGGGAGCAUUGUCCGUAACCACAGAAUCUAUUCCAGGAUCCAAGUAUUCAUCCCCAUGGGUAUUUAGAAUUCCACAAUUAAGAACAAUUCUACUCGAUACUCGCUCUCCACAAAAUAACUGCACUCAUGGAAUCC